UAGGGAAGUCUUCCACAAUGGGCGGAAAGCCUGAUGGAGCAACGCCGCGUGUGUGAUGAAGGGUUUCGGCUCGUAAACACUGUUGUAAGAGAAGAAUGACAUUGAGAGUAACUGUUCAAUGUGUGACGGUAUCUUACCAGAAAGGAACGGCUAAAUACGUGCUAG
rnacentral:rRNA from 1 species